rnacentral:rRNA from 1 species
ACGCUUUUUCUUUCACCGGAGCUUGCUCCACCGAAAGAAAAGGAGUGGCGAACGGGUGAGUAACACGUGGGUAACCUGCCCAUCAGAAGGGGAUAACACUUGGAAACAGGUGCUAAUACCGUAUAACAAUCGAAACCGCAUGGUUUCGGUUUGAAAGGCGCUUUUGCGUCACUGAUGGAUGGACCCGCGGUGCAUUAGCUAGUUGGUGAGGUAACGGCUCACCAAGGCAACGAUGCAUAGCCGACCUGAGAGGGUGAUCGGCCACAUUGGGACUGAGACACGGCCCAAACUCCUACGGGAGGCAGCAGUAGGGAAUCUUCGGCAAUGGACGGAAGUCUGACCGAGCAACGCCGCGUGAGUGAAGAAGGUUUUCGGAUCGUAAAACUCUGUUGUUAGAGAAGAACAAGGAUGAGAGUAGAAUGUUCAUCCCUUGACGGUAUCUAACCAGAAAGCCACGGCUAACUACGUGCCAGCAGCCGCGGUAAUACGUAGGUGGCAAGCGUUGUCCGGAUUUAUUGGGCGUAAAGCGAGCGCAGGCGGUUUCUUAAGUCUGAUGUGAAAGCCCCCGGCUCAACCGGGGAGGGUCAUUGGAAACUGGGAAACUUGAGUGCAGAAGAGGAGAGUGGAAUUCCAUGUGUAGCGGUGAAAUGCGUAGAUAUAUGGAGGAACACCAGUGGCGAAGGCGGCUCUCUGGUCUGUAACUGACGCUGAGGCUCGAAAGCGUGGGGAGCAAACAGG